GCACUACUGAGGAGUCCCACAAUAGGACGAAACGACCGCCCAGUGC
rnacentral:hammerhead_ribozyme from 1 species